rnacentral:rRNA from 1 species
UACGUAGGGGGCGAGCGUUGUCCGAAGUUACUGGGCGUAAAGCGCGCGUAGGCGGGCGCUUAAGGCUGGUGUGAAAGGCUGAGGGCUCAACCCCAGCAGUGCACUGGCGACUGGGCGCCUUGAGUGGGGGAGAGGGGAGCGGAAUUCCGGGUGUAGCGGUGAAAUGCGUAGAGAUCCGGAGGAACACCGAUGGCGAAGGCAGCUCUCUGGCCUCUUUACUGACGCUGAGGUGCGAAAGCGUGGGGAGCGAACGGG